rnacentral:rRNA from 1 species
UGGGCAACCUGCUCCAGACUCUGGGAUAACUCCGGGAAACCGGGGCUAAUACCGGAUACUCCGAUCGGACGACAUCGUCUGACCGGGAAAGCUCCGACGGUCUGGGAUGGGCCCGCGGCCUAUCAGCUUGUUGGUGGGGUCAUGGCUCACCAAGGCGACGACGGGUAGCUGGUCUGAGAGGACGACCAGCCACACUGGAACUGAGACACGGCCCAGACCUCCGUACGGGA